rnacentral:rRNA from 1 species
AUUGAACGCUGGCGGCAGGCUUAACACAUGCAAGUCGAGCGAGCGGCGGACGGGUGAGUAAUGUCUGGGAAACUGCCUGAUGGAGGGGGAUAACUACUGGAAACGGUAGCUAAUACCGCAUACCAUCAGAUGUGCCCAGAUGGGAUUAGCUAGUAGGUGGGGUAAUGGCUCACCUAGGCGACGAUCCCUAGCUGGUCUGAGAGGAUGACCAGCCAAACGGGAACUGAGAAACGGGCCAGGAGCCUACGGGAGGCAGCAGUGGGGAAUAUUGCACAAUGGGCGGAAGCCUGAGGCAGCCAUGCCGGGUGUGUGAAGAAGGCCUUCGGGUUGUAAAGCACUUUCAGCGGGGAGGCGUUACUCGCAGAAGAAGCACCCGGUAACUCCGUGCCAGCAGCCGCGGUAAUUC